GCUGGAAUUGCUGUAAUGGCAGGUCAGCAUACUGCCGUGAAUACGUUCCCGGGCCUUGUACACACCGCCCGUCACACCAUGAGAGUUGGAAAUACCCGAAGCCUGUGAGCUAACUUAAAGAGGCAGCAGUCGAAGGUAGAGCCAAUGAUUGGGGUGAAGUCGUAACAAGGUACC
rnacentral:rRNA from 1 species